CUAAAAGGCCUUCAGGAGUGAGACCAAAUAAUUUAAUACAAAUAGUUCCGGAUUGCAGUCAAAUUAAAAGGACAUCUAAUAAACAUAUUAAAUGUGGAUUACUAAACAUUAGGUCUAUUUCAUCCAAAUCUCUGUUAUUAAAUGACUUAAUUGGUGACCAUAAAAUUGAUAUUUUGGCUCUGACAGAAACCUGGCUUCAGCAAAAUGAAUAUGUGAGACUAAAUGAAUCCAUGCCACCAAGUCAUGUGAACUUUCACACAGCUAGAAGCACUGGUCGAGGUGGAGGAGUGGCAGUAAUUUCACACUCCAGUUUGGGUCUGAACCCUAAAACUAAUCACACUUAUCAAUCCUUUGAAAGUUUAGUUUUAUCAAUUACUGAUCCCAACUGGAAAAACAAAAAAACAGUUCUAUUCGUAGUGGUCUUUCGCCCUCCUGGUCCCUAUUCACAGUUUUUAUCAGAAUUCUCUGACAUUUUAUCCACUGUAGUGUUAAACUGGGAUAGGAUUUUAAUAGUUGGGGACUUCAACAUACGUGUUGAUGAUGACAAUGACUCUUUUAGUGGCGCAUUUAGUGGCCUACUAGAUGGGAUUGGCUUUGUUCAAAAUGUAAAUAAACCAACUCAGUCACAAGCACACCCUGGAUCUGAUCUUAACAUAUGGUAUUGAGGUUAGUGACCUUGUUGUCCUCCCCCAUAACCCCGUACUCUCAGACCACUUUUUAAUUACCUUUCAGUUUGUGCUUGAGGAUAAGUCUACACCUGUGAUUAAAGCUCAGAUGAAAAGGACAUUAUGUGAUCGUUCUGUCUCAAGGUAUAAAGAGAUAAUUCAGCCAAUAUUUCCUUCCCUGUUGUCUGAUUAUGUAGAGAACAUGUCUAGUCCUGCUGCAUGUGAUGAGUUUGUUGAUAGUGCCAUGCUCACACUACAAACUGCUCUGGAUGUAGUUGCCCCCCUCAAGCUGAGGAUUGUUAAGCCGAGGCCAGCUUCUCCUUGGUAUAAUGCUGAAACACGUUCCUUUAAACAAGCAGUGCGUAAAUUAGAGAGGCUAUGGCACCGUUCCAGCUCGGAGCAUUCUUUCAGUGUCUGGAAAAACAGCUUAUUGGCCUAUAAGCAGGCCCUGCGUAAGGCUAAAACUAGAUAAUACUCAUCCUUAAUCGAGAAAAACAAGAAUAACCCUAGAUUUCUGUUCAGCACUGUAGCCAGGCUGACAAACAGUCACAGCUCAGUAGAACCCUCUAUCCCACUUACUUACAGCUGUGAUGACUUCCUACAAUUCUUUAACGAUAAAAUCUCAACUAUUAGAAACAAAAUAGAUGAACUACUACCAAAUAUUAGGUCUGACAAAGCACAGGCUGCAAACCUAGAAUCUCUUAUAAACCCCCCUACAAUGUUAGAUAAUUUUGCUACUGUAGAUCGAGCUGAUGUAGCAUCUGUCAUUAUGUCCUCCAAACCAUCGACCUGCCUCUUAGACCCAAUCCCAACCAAACUUUUUAAAGAGACUCUGCCCCUAACUAUUGACAUGAUCCUAAUUAUAAUAAAUACCUCACUAGUUACUGGCAACGUGCCACAAUCUUUUAAAUUUGCAGUUAUUAAACCACUUCUGAAAAAACCUACUCUAGAUCCUGUCAUCCUGGUCAAUUACAGACCUAUAUCUAAUUUGCCCUUCCUCUCAAAAGUUCUUGAAAGAGUGGUAGUUAAACAGCUGUGUCAGCAUUUACAGGACAAUAGUUUAUUUGAACAGUUCCAGUCUGGCUUUUGAGCUCAUCAUAGCACUGAAACUGUGUUAGUCAAAGUAACUAAUGACUUGUUAUUAGCUGCUGACGAUGGAUUGGUCUCCAUCCUGGUCUUAUUGGACCUGAGUGCAGCUUUUGACACUAUCAACCACAGUAUCUUGCUGCAGAGAUUAGAAUGGGACAUAGGCAUUAGAGGAGC